rnacentral:rRNA from 1 species
GAUGAACGCUAGCGGCAGGCUUAACACAUGCAAGUCGAGGGGUAACAGAGGUAGCUUGCUACUUGCUGACGACCGGCGAACGGGUGCGUAACGCGUAUAGAAUCUACCUUUUACAGGAGGAUAGCCUUUAGAAAUGAAGAUUAAUACUCCAUAAUACUACUAUAUGGCAUCCUAUAUUAGUUAAAGAUUUAUCGGUAAAAGAUGACUAUGCGUUCUAUUAGCUAGAUGGUAAGGUAAUGGCUUACCAUGGCGACGAUAGGUAGGGGGUCUGAGAGGACUAUCCCCCACACUGGUACUGAGACACGGACCAGACUCCUACGGGAGGCAGCAGUGAGGAAUAUUGGUCAAUGGAGGCAACUCUGAACCAGCCAUGCCGCGUGCAGGAAGACUGCCCUAUGGGUUGUAAACUGCUUUUAUACAGGAAGAAACUGAUCUACGUGUAGGUCACUGACGGUACUGUAAGAAUAAGCACCGGCUAACUCCGUGCCAGCCGCCGCCGUAACAC